UGGGGAAUAUUGGACAAUGGGCGCAAGCCUGAUCCAGCCAUGCCGCGUGGGUGAAGAAGGCCUUCGGGUUGUAAAGCCCUUUUGUUGGGAAAGAAAAGCAGUCGGUUAAUACCCGAUUGUUCUGACGGUACCCAAAGAAUAAGCACCGGCUAACUUCGUGCCAGCAGCCGCGGUAAUACGAAGGGUGCAAGCGUUACUCGGAAUUACUGGGCGUAAAGCGUGCGUAGGUGGUUUGUUAAGUCUGAUGUGAAAGCCCUGGGCUCAACCUGGGAAUUGCAUUGGAUACUGGCAGGCUGGAGUGCGGUAGAGGGUAGUGGAAUUCCCGGUGUAGCAGUGAAAUGCGUAGAGAUCGGGAGGAACAUCCGUGGCGAAGGCGACUACCUGGACCAGCACUGACACUGAGGCACGAAAGCGUGGGGAGCAAACAGGAUUAGAUACCCUGGUAGUCCACGCCCUAAACGAUGCGAACUGGAUGUUGGGUUCAAUUAGGAACUCAGUAUCGAAGCUAACGCGUUAAGUUCGCCGCCUGGGGAGUACGGUCGCAAGACUGAAACUCAAAGGAAUUGACGGGGUCAUAGC
rnacentral:rRNA from 1 species